ACGACGCUACAUACCGUUCAUUCAAAGUGCUACUCGACAGAAGACUUCUGCGACUGCCACAACUUGCAGCGUCCUCUUCUGUUUUUUCAAUUUUCCGUAUAAAGACUUUAACCCCUACAUCCAGGUUUCUUAGCUCUCCUCAAUGCCUCCAUCUCUUCUCUAUUACUCCUGUCUCUCACAGGAAAAGUUUGUCUUUAGGGUUUGUGUAACGUACAUACUGGCCUGGGUGCUUGAAAGGGGAUCCAAAGUUACUCCAUUUAUCUGCAUUUGCACCUGCACCUCUCAAGUCCUGUCUAUGACCAGUGUUUUCCAUGUCCGUUUAUUAUUGCUGUGAGCACUGCCCUAGAUGGGGCUUAGGUGCAGGUACAGGUGCAGACUAAUGGGAUUUCUUCAUCCUUCAUCGAGUUUGAAGAUGAUGACAAGAGAUGUCAUUUGGAACUCAAGUAUUUAUUGGAGAUCAAAAGAGCAGUUAGAUGAGUUUUGCCAAAAUAAUUGUAUUUUUAUUCUUUUUUUAUUUCUUUCCCUCUUUAUUUCCCCUCUUGUGUAGUGUAUACAUGUUUGUUUGUGAUAAUUAGUAAUUUAGUUUAAUAUUGAUUAGUCGGUGUUAAACAA